GAUGAACGCUAGCUACAGGCUUAACACAUGCAAGUCGAGGGGCAGCAUGGUGGAUGCUUGCAUUCACCGAUGGCGACCGGCGUAUGGGUGAGUAACGCGUAUCCAACCUGGCGUGCACACCGGCACAGCCCCUGGAAACGGGGAUUAAUUCCGGAUGGUGUGGAUUAGGCGCAUGCCUUGUCCACUAAAGGUCUUCCGGUGCACGAUGGGGAUGCGUUCCAUUAGGCAGUUGGCGGGGUAACGGCCCACCAAGCCUUCGAUGGAUAGGGGUUCUGAGAGGAAGGUCCCCCACACUGGAACUGAGACACGGUCCAGACUCCUACGGGAGGCAGCAGUGAGGAAUAUUGGUCAAUGGCCGGAAGGCUGAACCAGCCAAGUAGCGUGAGGGAUGACACGCCCCGUACGGGUUAGUAAACCCUUCUUUUGGUCCGGGAAAGUAAAACGGGGGACGCCGUCCCCCCUUGCAUGUACCGGUUGAAUAAGGGCCGGCUAAUUCCGUG
rnacentral:rRNA from 1 species